rnacentral:misc_RNA from 1 species
CUUACACUCUACACAACAUUUUGGUUUCUUUCCUUUUUUCGAAACUGAAAUUCUACCGUGAUAACUUAUGUAUUCUUGAUCGAGUAAAAAAUUUGUACAUAAAGAAAAAAUGCCAGGAAUAUUCGGGAAGUUCCCGACUAACCGUCUCGGACCUAAUCUCCUGCAGAUAUCUCGAUGCGUUAGCUACCAUGCUCCACUCUUCCGGCCGCGCAGCCUACUCUACACAGAACGGCUAGGACAGCUCUGCUGCAGUGCCUCCUCCGGAUCCAAGUCUAGCCGAAGGACCACUCAGCCAAGUCGCGUCCGGGUGCAGAGGUACUCGCAAAAGGGUAGCAAUGUGUUCUCGGUCAGCGAUAAUGCGGACGUGCUGCGCAAACGGAUCAGCUUCUCCGGCACCUCGGGCAAGGCGCCCAAGAUCAUGCCCAUUGGGCUGAUUACACCGGAAACGGCGGACGGCAAGGAUCUGAAGAUUGUCAUUGUGCCUUUGGAUAUUUCCGCCAUGGAUGCCAACGAACUCAAGGAUACGCUGGAAACCAUCAACAAGUUGCGCUUGUACGCCAACCACAUCGAGACCUUCUCCAACAGCAUGGUCGAGGAAUACGGUGCUUUGAACGAGGCCGUGCAGGAAGUGGAAUCGGCGGAUCAGCCCCAAGGAGGGGCUGGAGAACGCCACUCGUGGGAAUCCUACCCAGCACACGUCAACGCUGUGGGAACUGCAUUGGAUGCGGGUCAGGGUGUCAGCUUACCGAUGCAGCGCCAGGCGGCAGUCAAUAGUUGCCUCCAAAACGCUCUAAACAGCUCAGCUGCCAGCUCUGCUCUGAAAACCACCAAGUCUAUGUCGGCCAUGGCCCAGAUGGAACCCAUCCUUGGGUCUACCAACCAGGAGAGCGACUUCGUCGAAGAGGUGCGUGUGGAUGUGCCGCAGGAUUUGAGCAAUCGGCUUAACGAUAUGGCCGUUUCGUCAAUGGAGCUGUCUUUCGAAAUGGACAUGACCAACCUGCGGCAGGCUCUCGAAAGCAAGGGUACGAACGCCGUAACUCCGCAGGAUCCCAUGAUCUGUAUGCACACAAAGGUGGAAUUGGAUGCGCCUGGUACCGUAGAGCAAACGCUGCCGCUUAGGUUCAACGCCUUGAUCUCGGGCGUAGUGGAGAUCGAUACCAAGAAGCUAAGUCCCGCCCAGCUGACGGAGGACAAAAUGCCGGCCUUCAACGAUGACCUCACCUCGCUGGCUGCCAACCUUUGCAGCACCGCCUUGGAGAAGGGAUUCGCGGGGAACUCUAAAUCCUCGGACACCUACAUCGCCGACCUGGAGCUGACCAAAGAUGAAGAGACCAUUCCUACCAGGAUCAUCGAUACUUCCUAUAUGUCGGCGGCUAAUCAAGUUGGUCACGUACGUGAAGCCCAGCAGAAGAUAGCCGAGGAAGCGUGUGCAAUGCCAGGGACCCAGGAGCAAGAGGUGCCCGUUCCCGUGGACAAAGACGGCUGCAAGCAUCCACCCGUUAAGCCCAAGCGCAAAUGUCCUGGAAAAUGUCCGCUGAUCACAGAUCCUUGCAAGGACGAUCCCUGCGAGCGACCUAAAAAGAAGAAGACUCCAAAGAAGGCUUUAAAAACCACUGAGAUCACGUGCAAGGCAAAGAGCUCUUGUGGCAAGGAUAAGAAAAAGGAUCCUUGUGGCAAGAAGGACAGUAAGAAAAAGGAUCCUUGUGCUAAGUUCAAGUCCGGGGAAAAGAAAGAUCCGUGCGCAAAGAAAAAGGAUGAUCCGUGCGCCAAGAAAAAGGAUCCGUGUGCUAAGAAAAAGGAAGAUCCGUGUGCCAAGAAGAAGGAUCCAUGUGCCAAGAAGAAGAAGGAUCCGUGUGCCAAGAAGAAGAAGGAUCCCUGUGCCAAGAAGAAGAAGGAUCCUUGCGCAAAGAAGAAGAAGGAUCCUUGCGCAAAGAAGAAGAAGGAUCCUUGCGCAAAGAAGAAGAAGGAUCCUUGCGCAAAGAAAGACAAGAAGAAGGAUCCCUGUGCCAAGGGCAAAAAGGAUGACAAGAAAAAGAAGGAUCCGUGCGCCAAGUUCAAGAAGGGUGGUGCUGGUGGCGGCAAAGGCAAGUGCAAGUUCUCUACUCUUGCUAACCAUCCGGAUGCAAGCAGGCGCUACUUGUCCACCGCCUUAAGCCAAGUCUUCCGUGAGCCGAAUACUGUCUCCAGGGGUCCCCGCUUCCAAGUCUACUCCACUCUUGUGCGCCGUCACUAUCGUGUCCCAGUUCCAAAGAUUGCGAGCUCUUGCACGUGUUCCCUCUGCAAGAGUCGGCUGCUCCACAAGGCAGUUGCUCCUGCACGAUUCACCAUCAACACGGCCCUCUUGAGAAGACGCUUCGGUGGACUUACGGGAAGGAUCUCCGGAGGAGCCCUACUGCAAAGCAGCUGCCGCGGAUACGCCGAGGAGGGCAAGUCCGGCGGCAAGUGUGGCGAAAUGAAGCCAAAGUACCCCAUCAAUCGUGGCAAGGACAUCAAGGAGCGAACGGGACUGCGCGAAGAUUGCUUCGACAACCACGGCGACUGUCCCAAGAAGAGCUGCACCGGCAAAUGCGCCAAGGUCAAGUUCCCGAAGAAGAAGUGCGAUCGCAAGAAGAAAAAGGAUGAAUAGGCAGUCUCUUGGCCCGGAGUUCCAUUUCCCAGUUGCAGAGAAGAUCAUUAAGCACACGGGUUUGUUGCCAUCCAUCCUCUGAAAAGCGCACUGUGGAUGAUCAAGCUCUAACGAUGCGCAUUACGAAUCCGUACGAGAUCAGCGUGGUUCCUGUUUCCAAGCCUCGACCAAAGGAUUUUGACGUCCUUAUCCGGACGGCCUCAGUGGCCAUCUCGAACUCGGACAUCCAUGUCUAUGAGAACGGCAAUCGGGACAUAGAAGGCAUGUCCCUGGGCCAUGAUGCAACGGGUGUCGUGGAGGAACUCGGUCGAUGCGUCCAUCAUCUGCACGUGGGUGACCGCGUCGUCAUGGAGUCGGCGUUGUCCUGCGGCAUCUGUGACCUAUGCAAGAAGGGCCUG